AGCGAAAUCAGCGGUUUUCACUAUCUUACAGAUCCGGCAAACGGGCGUGAACGAGGUGCCUUCCCCGCCUGUGAAGCUACCGACAAGGAGGGAAGGAGGAGGACAAAAGUGGCGGUUUCUUCUCUCCUUCUCUUCACACAAACGGCUGAGAGCUAGUGAGCUUCGCUGUGGAGUGGCACAAACAUUUAAUAAACAAACAAGCCAAAGUGGACUUCAGGGAAUGGUGCUUCAAUCAACCUAGUACAAGCAAAGUCAAGUAAUGUUGGAGCAUCGUUAUCUGGAUCUUUUAACAUAGAUGAGCAACAAUUACACAUCUGUUAUUUCUCCUUGAAAAACUAAUCUAAAAGGCUCAAUUACUUCAUCUGAAAUUCUUCAAUUCUCAUGAGGACAAAUUGCUCAAAAAAUUAAAACAUAUUUGGACAGUGGAAGUGCUGUACAAAUAAUUAAAAAUAACAAGAUCUGAAUUGGAAGUCAACAUUGCAUCAAGCCAAUGCUGUCAAAACCUGUCACACUCGAAGAUGAAUUCUAGUUGGCUUCCAAAAUAACUUCUAAAAACAGGUCUGAACAAUCAAAACAACAUUUUGCUGAUUGUACUAUGCAAUCCUUAUCUCAAAUGGCAUCAUUGUGGAACUGAAGACAUAUUAAUCCAGGGGCACAGAAUGACAGAUAAUGAAUGUCUUGAAUUGUUAAUUCUACUUAAAAUUUCAGGAUUAUAAUAAUUUGGUUGAAUAGAAAAUUGUUUUUGUUUGAAUAGAAACAAAUAUCACCAACAAUCACUAUUAAUGGAUAGCUAUUGGAACUGACCUUUUAUUAACUUUUUGUAGAACAACUAAUUUAUAUUAAUGAUUUUAUGGCCAAAGUUUGGCAGACAUUGACCACAGAGUUGUGUUGAAUGACAUACAGAUUCCCAAAGAAAUGUUAUAUUAAGUUUACUUUUUUUGAAUUUACAUUUUUCCUACUUUUCUGAGAGUUCUGCACCCCUAAACCAAGCAAAUGUGGAAGGCCUAGUGUCCUUGUAGCAAUUGUGGGAAAGACUGAAUGCCACAUUCACUUUUUACUUUUUUUUAACCUUUUCCCCUUUUCUGUUUUUUAUUCAUAUUUCUUAUUUCCUAUUUUAUGUAGUAUGUAGGUUGUUUUCUUUUUAUUCUGUGUUAUAUAAUUCUAAUAAAACAAACUAGUGG
rnacentral:lncRNA from 11 species